CAGUAGCCGCGGUAAAACGAAGGGUGCAAGCGUUACUCGGAAUUACUGGGCGUAAAGCGUGCGUAGGUGGUGGUUUAAGUCCGUUGUGAAAGCCCUGGGCUCAACCUGGGAAUUGCAGUGGAUACUGGGUCACUAGAGUGUGGUAGAGGAUAGUGGAAUUUCCGGUGUAGCAGUGAAAUGCGUAGAGAUCGGAAGGAACAUCUGUGGCGAAGGCGACUAUCUGGGCCAACACUGACACUGAGGCACGAAAGCGUGGGGAGCAAACAGGAUUAGAUACCCCCGUAGUCCAUGUCUCUUAUAC
rnacentral:rRNA from 1 species